rnacentral:ncRNA from 12 species
AAUUGUUGAGGUGAGAAAAGGCUCCUCACGCGCUAAGGCUUCUAGUAAAAAGAGAUGUAGGAUACGCCGCCCUACCAACAAUU